rnacentral:rRNA from 1 species
GACGAACGCUGGCGGCGUGCCUAAUACAUGCAAGUCGAACGAGAGCGCCCGGUGCUUGCACUGGUCAAUCUAGUGGCGAACGGGUGAGUAACACGUGGGUAACCUGCCCAUCAGAGGGGGAUAACAUCCGGAAACGGAUGCUAAAACCGCAUAGGUCUUCGAACCGCAUGGUUUGAAGAGGAAACGGGGCGCAAGCUUCUGCUGAUGGAUGUACCCGCGGUGCAUUAGCUAGUUGGUGAGGUAACGGCUCACCAAGGCCGUGAUGCAUAGCCGACCUGAGAGGGUGAUCGGCCACAUUGGGACUGAGACACGGCCCAGACUCCUACGGGAGGCAGCAGUAGGGAAUCUUCCGCAAUGGGCGCAAGUCUGACGGAGCAACGCCGCGUGAGUGAAGAAGGUUUUCGGAUCGUAAAACUCUGUUGUUGGGGAAGAACAAGUGCUGGAGUAACUGUUAGCGUCUUGACGGUAUCUAACCAAAAAGCCACGGCUAACUACGUG